GGGCGUCCAAUCCAUCAACCGGAUAGAGGUCAGAUUGGUCACUUCUUUGCAAAGCUAUGCUGUAGCAGUGUCUAGCCAGGGCUUGGUCUCCCUUGACUUCUCCGACCCGCUGGCUAGUAGGGAAUUUCAAUUUCAGAUGGUAGGUCGACACCACGGCCCGGAGGGCGUUGAGGCCAGGUCGGCCGAGGAUUGCAUUGUAGGCUGACGGCACCUUCACCACC
rnacentral:lncRNA from 1 species